rnacentral:rRNA from 1 species
GACGAACGCUGGCGGCGUGCUUAACACAUGCAAGUCGAACGGAAAGGCCCUGCUUUUGUGGGGUGCUCGAGUGGCGAACGGGUGAGUAACACGUGAGUAACCUGCCCUUGACUUUGGGAUAACUUCAGGAAACUGGGGCUAAUACCGGAUAGGAGCUCCUGCUGCAUGGUGAGGGUUGGAAAGUUUCGGCGGUUGGGGAUGGACUGGCGGCUUAUCAGCUUGUUGGUGGGGUAGUGGCUUACCAAGGCUUUGACGGGUAGCCGGCCUGAGAGGGUGACCGGCCACAUUGGGACUGAGAUACGGCCCAGACUCCUAAGGGAGGCAGCAGUGGGGAAUAUUGCACAAUGGGCGGAAGCCUGAUGCAGCAACGCCGCGUGCGGGAUGACGGCCUUCGGGUUGUAAACCGCUUUCGCCUGUGACGAAGCGUGAGUGACGGUAAUGGGUAAAGAAGCACCGGCUAACUACGUG